CCUACGGGAGGCAGCAGUGGGGAAUAUUGCACAAUGGGGGGAACCCUGAUGCAGCAAUGCCGCGUGAAGGAUGAAGGUUUUCGGAUUGUAAACUUCUUUUGUCCGGGACGAAGAAAGUGACGGUACCGUAAGAAUAAGCACGGGCUAACUACGGGCCAGCAGCCGCGGUAAUCCGUAGGUGGCAAGCGUUAUCCGGAUUUACUGGGUGUAAAGGGCGAGUAGGCGGGAUUGCAAGUCAGAUGUCAAAACUAGGGGCUCAACCGAUAGAGGGCAUUUGAAACGGCAGUUCUUGAGUGAUGGAGAGGCAGGCGGAAUUCCCGGUGUAGCGGUGGAAUGCGUAGAGAUCGGGAGGAACACCAGUGGCGAAGGCGGCCUGCUGGACAUUAACUGACGCUGAGGCGCGAACGCGUGGGGAGCAAACAGGAUUAGAUACCCGGGUAGUC
rnacentral:rRNA from 1 species